GUAUAACUUCAAGUCAGGGAUUGUGAUGCCUCCUGCUUUGUCUUUGCUGCUUAGAACUGUCUUUGCUAUUCUAGGUCUCUCCUGGUUCCAGAAGAAAUUUAAGAGUGAUUUCUCUAGAUCUAUAAGUUCCUGAGACUCUGGCACCCUGUUACUCCAAGCCUCUGGACCUGCAGAACCAAUGGUCCUCCUCUGCCUGGUGUUCAGAACUCUGCAGUUCCAGAUAAGCUUGGCCUCAGGGACACUGUGCACCCACCUGCCCUUUGGAAGCUCCACAGCUCUCCAAUUGCGGCCGGGAUAUGGAGGCAGAUGUAGACGCCUGAAACCCACCUCUCCACUUCACUGCACCCGGAAGCCUGGAGGGUCCCAAACAGUCUGGGCUUUGGGCAGAGUGUGCUGAGCACUCACCACUGACGGUGGUGCCUCUGGAACCUGCAAUCCUCCCCUGCUUGCUGAGACAUCCACAGUCCUCCAGACACAUAUGGAGGCUGAUGCAGGUACCCCAGAUUCACCCAGCCCCUCCUCUGCACACCGAUGGUGAAGUGCGGGAGUCCCAAACAGGCUGGGCUCAGGGAAUGGCGUGUGCCCGCCUACUUGUUGGAAGCUCCACUGUUCUCCAAGUGCAGCCAGGAUGGGGAGUCAGAAGUAGAGGCCUCAAACCCACUUCUCCACUUCACUGCACCCGGAAACCUGGAGGGUCCCAAACUGUCUGGGCUUUGGGCAGAGUGUGCUGAGCACUCACCCCUGGCCAUGGUGCCUCUGGAACCUGCGAUCCUCCCCUGCCUGCUGUGAUAUCCAAAGUCCUCCAGACACAUGGGGAGGCUUAUUCAGGUGCCCCAGAUCUGCCUAGCUGCUCCUCUGCACACCAAUGGUGAGAUGCGGGAGUCCCUAUCAUGUCAAUACUUAAUAAUCCUUUUCUUUCUUUCUUUCUUUUUUGACACAGAGUUUCACUUUGCAGAUCAGGCUGGACUUGAACUUACUUUGUAGUUCAGUCUGGCUCAGGACUGGCAGUGAUCCUUUUGCCCAGGCCUCCCACGUGGUGGGAGUACAGGCGUGUGCCACCACACCUGGCUGCAUUCUUAAAUGGAGCCUUAUUACUGUGGUGUUUGGGUUAGCUGAUUACGUUAGGAAAUAUGCAGCCAAUUUCAAAAGCUGAUGGGGAAAGAAGCAUUCAUUAAAGUCCAAGGUGGCACAGCACUUGGGUGAAAACAGAUUUCACUUUAACUGAUGCUUGAAACACGAUUGGAAAUAACUCCAUAGAAGCAUGAUUGGACAUGCAAGGAGGGGAAGCUUCUGUCUUUAUCCUAUGAUAAGUAAGAUCUGAAGCAUGUGUUACCUGGAAAAUCUGAAGAUUUUCACCUGAGAAGGUUUUUCUACCUCUACUACAAAGAUCCCUGGUGCAUACCUACUGUCUUCAGCUUUCAAAAGACUACCUUCAAGAGGCUCUAGAUAGAAUGGAAACAUGUAAGCGAGUGACCUUGUAAGCUUGCUUCAAGGUCUGUGCACCCAGUGGGUAUGAGCAGGACCUCUUUCUUUUGCAACAAGAUUGGAGAACCAAGGACAGAGGGAAACAGGCAACAACUCCAAGAGGCAAGUAGGCACACACACUGAAGGGACAGGAAGGCUGGUUAUAAUCAUACCUGGAGCAUGAGACCUAGGAUUUUCUUCUCAAAUUCUGAUGUCCUUUCCUUCCUCCCUGCCUCUCUCUAAAAACUCCUGAACUUAUUCUGACUCCUCUCAUUGGAUGAAUUUCUGUACAAUUUUGAAGAUACAAGUAUUGUGCUUAGGAUGAAGGCAAGACUGAGAGAAAGAGCCUUGAAGGUAUUUGAUCCAGCUGCAACAUGCAGUGCCCAGGUGAAAUGACCUCUGUGUAGUGUGCAGACUAUUGUACCACCUGAGCUGGCUAAUGGAUUGUUACAAAUGCCCUGUCAAAUGAGAAUCAAUGUGGUGGCCCUGUUCAUCUUGCUAUCCCUUGAGUUUUAUUUUCAGAGGCUCAUUCUGGCUUCAUAACCAGCAACCCACCAUCCUACAGGCAAUGUCUUCUUAGGCUCAUUGCUCUAUCUAUGCCUGGAUUUGAUCCCAAGUACUCAAGUUCCAAUCAGAGUGGUCUGUUUUCUCUGCUCCAGAUGUCUAUGCUCAUCUUGUCUUCCAGAGAUUCUGUGGUCACCCUCAUGGUCCAUUAUCACACACUGGGGCUGAUGAUGGGUUUUGUGUCUUUCCUUCUCGUUCUAAUCUGCCUCUGGUGCACAUCUAAAAUGCUGCUCUCCUUUGCACCCUCAUCUCUCCAUUCCAUCCAUGCUUCCUAUGUCCUACUGGGUAAAGUUCAGUGUCUUCAGCAUGGUUGUUAAGGAUCAUCAUGAAGAAGUCCAUCUCAGUGCUAGAUUUUUCUUAACAUUAAUGUGAAACCUGAGGAGUCAGCUCUUGAAAUGGGCUAAGCUGCAAACUGUGUAGCUAUGACAGCUCUGGGCAUGAGUUCUCUCCAUUUCCCUGGUGUGUAAGUUACUUUCAUUUCUAAGUUCAAGGAUGAUAUGCUUGUGAUCUAAUUUGGACUUCCAGUUUGCACUUGAAAUCUCAACUCGCAUGGCCAUGUUUUGUGAGAUGAUGUUUUUUUCAUGUUUGCCUGGUCUUUUCCAGGGGAUCCUUGAAAAAGAACUCACAGCUUUUCAUUAUAGCCCUGUCCAUGUGGUACUGUGCAUGGAAAAGACGUUAACCAGGGGAAGGAUAAUGGCACAGAUUUGUCUAUUUCUUUUUCUUCUCCUCUUCUCAGGUUCACUCUUUUUAAUAAGCAAGGCACUGAUUGCCUUUCCUUGAAAAUAUGUGCCUGUUGUCAAAAAACUUCCAUCUAUUUACCUUUGAGAUUUUUAAUCUACUGACUUAUGGGACAUUCUGAAAAUUAAUUCCUAACCAUUUUCACAUACUGUAAAUAUCUUUCUGUGAUUCCACUUUGAUCUCUCCCAGCUUAAUGACCACCAUAUGCUGGGAAACUCAAUUUGCUGCUCAUGUAUGUCUGAUCUGAUUAGGUUACUUGAUGCUUUUAUUCACUUUGUCUGAAUAAAGCAGCCAGGGGCCAUUUGAAUUUAAA